rnacentral:rRNA from 1 species
UACGUAGGGGGCAAGCGUUAUCCGGAUCUACUGGGUGUAAAGGGGGCGCAGACGGCGAUGCAAGCCAGGAGUGAAAGCCCGGGGCCCAACCCCGGGACUGCUCUUGGAACUGCGUGGCUGGAGUGCAGGAGGGGCAGGCGGAAUUCCUGGUGUAGCGGCGAAAUGCGUAGAUAUCAGGAGGAACACCGGUGGCGAAGGCGGCCUGCUGGACUGCAACUGACGUUGAGGCCCGAAAGCGUGGGGAGCAAACAGG